rnacentral:rRNA from 1 species
UACCAUGCAAGUCGAGCGGAGGAGGGAGCUUGCUCCUGGAAUCAGCGGCGGACGGGUGAGUAAUGCCUGGGAAUCUGCCUGGUAGUGGGGGAUAACGUCUCGAAAGGGACGCUAAUACCGCGUACGUCCUACGGGAGAAAGCAGGGGAUCUUCGGACCUUGCGCUAUCAGAUGAGCCCAGGCCGGAUUAGCUUGUUGGUGAGGUAAUGGCUCACCAAGGCGACGAUCCGUAGCUGGUCUGAGAGGAUGAUCAGCCACACUGGGACUGAGACACGGCCCAGACUCCUACGGGAGGCAGCAGUGGGGAAUAUUGGACAAUGGGCGAAAGCCUGAUCCAGCCAUGCCGCGUGUGUGAAGAAGGUCUUCGGAUUGUAAAGCACUUUAAGUUGGGAGGAAGGGGUUGAAGCUAAUACCUUCAAUCUUUGACGUUACCAACAGAAUAAGCACCGGCUAACUCUGUGCCAGCAGCCGCGGUAAUACAGAGGGUGCAAGCGUUAAUCGGAAUUACUGGGCGUAAAGCGCGCGUAGGUGGUUCAGUAAGAUGGAAGUGAAAUCCCCGGGCUUAACCUGGGAACUGCUUUCAUAACUGCUGAGCUAGAGUACGGUAGAGGGUAGUGGAAUUUCCUGUGUAGCGGUGAAAUGCGUAGAUAUAGGAAGGAACACCAGUGGCGAAGGCGACUACCUGGACUGAUACUGACACUGAGGUGCGAAAGCGUGGGGA